UCUCAAAGAGACAGCAACCUCUCAAAGAUAAGUAGAAACUUCACGGUGACCCUGGAACUUUACAAUCUCUCGGGGAGUCCCCUAAAGACACAGGUCCACUGGAUUUGCCCUGUUGGAACCCACUCUGGAGUAGUCUGGAGAACACAGACUAUAAAUGCCCAAGAGACCAGCCUUGCUCACUGGAAACUGCUCACCACCUGCCCAACUGUAUGACAGACAGAAGCCGGUUUGAAAAGAAACUCACAAUUGCCAGCGUGCCCCUUGUGUGAAUCCCACGGCUGGAAGUUUUUCUGUAAAUCGGCAUCUUCAGCUGUCCUGUUCGUUCUGCCCUGACUAGAUGCAGGGUGAGCUGGAAGUCAGUCUUCAGGACGGUGAACACAGAGGGGCUCCCAGCAAGCUACAGGAUCGCAACAAGGAAACCUCCAGCACUCCAACUUUCUUUGUAACUACCUCUGCCCUAUUCCAUAUGGUUCUGAAGGGACUGUCAAUCAAGUUCCCCGACCCCUUCUCCUUGUCCAAGUGUGGCCACAUGACUCAAGUUAAGCCAGUCAAGCCUGCCCUGAGUGACACCAGAAUGGAAAACGGUGGUAGAGUCACUUUGAUGUCAGAGUGCUGACAAGAACGUGUUUCUUCUGCCAUUCAGAUCCAUGGAGUUGCCGGGUUUCUAUUCUUUGCAAGGCCUGAUCAUGCAAUUUCCCUCCAAUUCUGGGAGAGAACUAAGGUCAUUU
rnacentral:lncRNA from 1 species